rnacentral:lncRNA from 1 species
GGAGUCGUCGCGCCUCGGCUGCGAGUCAGGACUGAGGCUGUCCCCCUCCCGCCUCCCUCAGGGGCCCUGGCGCGGGUGCCUCCAGGUUCCACCCCUCACCUGCCCCUUGGUGUCGGGCCGGGACCCUGGAGAGGUCGUGAGGGAGUCCUGGGCGCGGGCUCCGGGAGGCUGCGGCGCGGGUCUGAGGUAAACGGCCCGGCCGCUGCGGGCCCUUGCGGGGGCUGGUUCCAGCAGCAACCGCCGGGCAGGGCCCCUCCCGACCGCGACCUCCUGUCCGCACCGUAGGGCAGCCGGCCGGGCCAGCCUCCCUCACAGGACUACCGAGGAAGAGGUAGGAUUUCACUCUGUCACCCAGGCGGGAGUGCAGUGGUGCGAUCAUAGCGGGGACUACAAGUGUGCACCACAUGCUUGUCUACGAACCUGAAGUAUUCUGAUGCAGUGGAGAGAGUGUAGAACUCUGGAGUGAAGAGAUCUGCCUGGAACCCUGACUCUAUCACUAGGAGAUUCCUUGGAAUGAAACCAAUGGGAGUCCAGGGUUUGGGAGAGUCUCAUCAGAGCAGAUGGGCGAGCAGCAGCCAGAACGCUUGUUGCCUUUGGCUGAGAACACUAUCCUGGAUCUGAAUGUCUUCUUUGUCACUCCAAGAGAUGGCCCUGGGACUGAGAAGUGGAUGGCAGCUGUGACAGCAGGAGAGGACUGCCUGAGGCUCCCCGGGCAGAGGCUCUGGUGCCAGGUUAGCAGCAGGACCGACGGCAGACCCAGCAGCCAGAGAGUGAAAGGCCAACUUCUCAGCCCCCCUGGCCUGCUCCAUCCCGUCAACUCUCCCAGGAACUACCAGCACCCACCUAAGGGACACCAGCCGCCCUGUGAAAGGACAAGCCAGAGACCCCUGGAGCUCGGAUGUGGAAGGAUGUGGGGAGCUGCCUGGUCCUGUCUCCCACUGCCGCAGAGGGACAUGAGGGAUGGAGCAGGACUGGCAACCUGGAGAGGAAGUCACUCCUGGUCCUGAGCCCUGUUCAAAGGGCCAGGCUCCCCUCUACCCCAUUGUCCAUGUGACAGAGCUCAAACACACAGACCCCAACUUUCCCUCCAACUCCAAUGCUGUCGGCACCUCAAGUGGCUGGAACAGGAUUGGCACGGGCUGCAGCCAUACCUGGGACUGGAGGUUCUCCUGCACCCAGCAGGCCCUUUUGCCCCUACUAGGAGCCUGGGAAUGGAGCAUUGACACAGAAGCAGGAGGAGGAAGGAGAGAGCAGAGCCAGAAACCCUGCAGCAACGGAGGGCCUGCAGCAGCUGGAGAGGGCCGAGUCCUCCCAAGCCCCUGCUUUCCAUGGAGCACUUGCCAGGCAGCCAUUCACAAAGUGUGUCGUUGGCAGGGAUGCACCAGACCAGCUCUCCUGGCACCAUCCCUGGCCACACUCAAGGAACACAGUUAUCCCUGAUGCUCUUGGCCUCUCUCCCUGAGCAGUACUCACCAGGGCCCACCUGACUCACGAUAGCCCCUGCCCAACAGGUACAAGUGGAGCUGGUGCUGGCCCCGGGCUGCCUCCCACCCAGGUGCCUGGCCUGUGGCUCCAAGGUGGACUCCCAGGCCCAGCACCACCAGCAGCAGCAACAGGCGACUGUCCAGUGAGGCCCAGUGGGCCACUGAGGAGCCGCCUCUACCCAGGGAUCCUGCCUCCCACCACGGCCCUCUCUAGGGCAUCUGCAUUGAAGGAUGCCACAGCCUUCUGCCAAUCUGACCAUCCCAGGCUAGAAGGCUGAUGCAGCCCCAGACCACGCUCCAGAUUCAAGGGCCUUGCUGGGGGCAAACAAGGUGGAACAUAACACGUCUGCCAAAGUGAAGGAGGACUCCCCAGUCCCAUCACCCAGAGCCCUGCUGGUGGGGUCAAAUCAUCGGCGCCUGCCUCACGGGCUGGACUGGUGCCAUGCCAGCUGGGAUGCCCAGUUUGGGAGAAGCCUGACCAGGGCCUCUGUUUGGCAAGGCUUCCCUGGCAGCCCUGGGUACCUGCCUGUGUACCCCCGUUCUCAGGGUCUCCCCACCUUCUGUGCUGUGGGUCCCCAUGCUAAACAGCACUAGAUACCGAUAACCUUCUUGACUAUACUGAAGCCACCUUCCUGCUGCCCACCAGCCUCAGUGACAGCAACAGACCCCUCUGCCCAGGCCGGCCUCACACGGGGCUAAAGACACCCACGGCUCCUGCCAGCAGGGUCCACACAGGCCACCUCGCUGCCCGUCCUCUCCCUCAGCCCCUCCUUAAGCACUCCUGCAGGCUCUCCCAGCUGCUGCCAGCACAUCCCGGGUGAGGCUUGCCCGGACCCACAGGCAACCUGGGCCCCUGCCAAGCCAGAAUCCACUCUCAGCUGUGCCUUUCUCGGCCCUGAGCAAAGCAGAUCAGUGGAGUCAGAGGCACCUUUGGGGCAGACAGGGGAAGAGGAGUGCAUUCAUUGGGGAAAGGUUGGGAGCUACCCAGCCGUAGGCUGGCAAAUCAGCUCCUGGCCGGGGGCACCCUGACUUACAGGCUUUGCCUGAUUUCUGUGGUGUAAAUUCUCCCCUUGUGCCCAGUUUCAAGCUACUAAUGUGUCGUGGACCGUAACUGGGGAGCAACACAGAGUCAGCUGGCCACGAUGCCAGUCACUGCUGAGCUGCCAAACCUUACGCGUCCCAGGGGGCACCUGCCUAGAGGCCAGGCACUGCACUGGACCCUCAGACACAGCUUGUGCAGCCUGCUUAGGAGCUUGGGAAAUGACUGUCAUCUGUGAUCUUGCUGGUCCCAGGAAGCCCAUUUUACAGAUGAGGAAACUGAGGCCCAAAGGCACGAAGCGACCUCUCUCAGCCUCACCAAGAGCACUGGAAGGUGGUGUAGGGCUGCGGCCGUGCGCACAGAGAGCACAGCAGCAGGAAGGCUCCUGGGCCUCCAGCUCCCCUCCCUCAGAAGCCUCCCAGAGUGACAGGAAGGUCAGAGGCCCCGGGGAGGGGGCGGGGCCAGGAUCUGGCAAUUUCCUAUCCCUCUCUGUUGGCUCUGUGCAUCUAAUUACUCCUUGAGUCAUCUGUUGCUAACCAGGAGGGGAAAUUAAAUAUUAAUAAUGUAAUACUUCUCUGUGAUUACCCCUUGUUGGGGACAGAUCAGAGGGCAGAUGCUGCCCCAUACAGACAGGGGACACAUGCUGCGGAAUGUGCAUAAUGCCUCUUGAAAGAACCACCUUAUAGGAUUCCACGCGGUCAGACUCAAAACUGCUGCUGCUUCCUGCCUUCCUCCUCACCUCCCCCAACCUGGCCACUUUAAUUAAAACUCCAUUUAAUCAAAACCCACACAUCUUCUGGUUCCUCAUAUGUCGCACUAGCAAGGCCCUCUGUACACAUGCCCAGAUGGUGGCUAUACCCCCCAGAGCCUGCUGCACGGAGGUGCCCACCAGCUUCUAGGCAGUGACCUGCACAUCUGCUCCUGAGUGCGGCUAAGAGCAACAUACAGGACACAGUGCACGGACUCGGACCCGCUCCAGCCAUGCCUGGCCUGUUCCUGGGCUCCAGAAUCCCAGCCUUAGAACCCUCCUGCUGCUUUUCCAUAACAAAUGUUUACCAAGUACCUCCACCAGGCCUGGCAGCACCCCAACUGCUGGGCCAAAGGGAGGUGUGCCCCCGUUGCUGUGCCUGGCCCCAUCUGAGCAUAUGGCAGGGGACCUCAAAGGAGGAAAGGACCCAGGACAUUCCUGGGAGGCGGCUGCUGCCCUGCAGUUUCAGGCACUGCAGGCCACUCCCUGUCUCCACAACAUUGGCUCAGCUAAGAGGAGUCGCAAAUCAAUUUCAAAGCGCAAGAGGUAUAUGAAGGCUAAGAAAGGUAAGCAACAGAAUAAAAAACAUGGAGGUGAAUUCAUUCCAGUAGGAAGGAAGGUAAUACAGUAAUCUAAUAAUGAUUUCAGAGACCUUUAGAAUCUCCAAAGAGGCAAAGAAAGGAAUGGCAUCCGUAGACAAGAAUGAGAACUUCUGAACCGACUGGCGGAAAUGAAACAAGGACAGGUGGAUAUGAACAAGAAAUAAUACAAAAUCCAGGGACUGAAAAAUAGAAGGACUGAAGUAAGGGAUGUGGUGAGCUUCAGGCACACGUACAGUGGAAGAGACGACUGGGGAUCUGAAGCUAGUACUGAGGAAUUCUCCCAGAAACGCCAUGAAGAGACCUAGUCUAGGAGGAAACGGUUGAGAGGCAUGGGGUGGACUGAGAAGCAUCAACAAGUGGCUUGCGGGAGCUCGGCAGGGCACGGCAGGUUGUGGGCCCCACUAUGACUGGCUUUUGGGAUGGCCCAGGGGGGCCUGGGCAUGAACCUCCCAGAACCCAGGGCCCCAGGAUCCCCAUACCCCUUCCAAACUCAUCAGCGCAGGUGCCUUCCUCACUGCCCAGUGGUAAGCAGCCACCCAGCACGGGCUCCACUUCCCUCCUGACCUCCGGGGCUGCCCGGUGGCCCUUACUUCAGGCGCUGGGUGCAGGCUGGGCCCGGGACCCAGAGAUACACCUGGCAUCCCUCCCCCACAGCCCGGGUGCAGCUGCAGCUCUCUGCUCCUGGUGGCAGGAUGUGGGCAAGAUGGGGCCAAGACCCAGCUCCCUGCAGCUGGAGGCUAAGGCUCUGAGCCUGCCUCACAGAGCAGCCCCCACAUCGCAGCCCCGGGGCCAGUGCUGGGGGCCCCAGCUCCUGCUCCCCACACCCCCAUGUGUCCAGGCUAGGGGCCAGGAAGGCCACAGCACCCCCUCCUCCCCGCCUGGGGGCCACUCACCCCCUCACACGAGGCUUCACCUGACAGCCCUCCUCCGAGGGGCCGCACCCCGCACCAAGGUGCU